UACGUAGGGCGCAAGCGUUGUCCGGAAUUAUUGGGCGUAAAGAGCUCGUAGGCGGUCUGUCACGUCUGCCGUGAAAACCCGAGGCUUAACCUCGUGGCUUGCGGUGGAUACGGGCAGACUAGAGGUAGGUAGGGGAGAACGGAAUUCCCGGUGUAGCGGUGAAAUGCGCAGAUAUCGGGAGGAACACCGGUGGCGAAGGCGGUUCUCUGGGCCGUACCUGACGCUGAGGAGCGAAAGCAUGGGGAGCGAACAGG
rnacentral:rRNA from 1 species